rnacentral:tRNA from 1 species
AUUUAUAUAGUUUAGUAAAAAAACACUUCAUUUUCAAUGAAAUGACAGGAAUUUUCCUUAUAAAUA